UCCUAUGCGAUGGGGGGACGGAGAAGGUUAGGUCAGCCGGGUGUUGGACGUCCCGGUUCAAGCGUGUAGUCGUGCCCUGUAGGCAAAUCCGCAGGGCUUAGAUGAGGCGUGAUAACGAGUGGCCUUGUGCCGCGAAGUGAUUGAUACCAUGCUUCCAAGAAAAGCCUCUAAGCUUCAGUUACAAAGAGACCGUACCGCAAACCGACACAGGUGGGCAGGAUGAGAAUUCUAAGGCGCUUGAGAGAACUCAGGAGAAGGAACUCGGCAAAUUAGCACCGUAACUUCGGGAGAAGGUGCGCCCUGGUAGCGUGAAAGCCCUCGCGGCUGGAGCGUGAAAGGGUUGCAGUGAAAUGGUGGCUGCGACUGUUUAAUAAAAACACAGCACUCUGCAAACACGAAAGUGGACGUAUAGGGUGUGACGCCUGCCCGGUGCCGGAAGGUUAAGUGAUGGGGUGCAAGCUCUUGAUCGAAGCCCCGGUAAACGGCGGCCGUAAUGAUAACGGUCCUAAGGUAGCGAAAUUCCUUGUCGGGUAAGUUCCGACCUGCACGAAUGGCGUAACGAUGGCCACACUGUCUCCUCCUGAGACUCAGCGAAGUUGAAAUGUUUGUGAAGAUGCAAUCUCCCCGCGGCAGGACGGAAAGACCCCAUGAACCUUUACUGUAGCUUUGCAUUGGACUUUGAACCGGUCUGUGUAGGAUAGGUGGGAGGCUUUGAAGCUGGGACGCUAGUUCUGGUGGAGCCAACCUUGAAAUACCACCCUGGUUUGUUUGAGGUUCUAACCAUGGCCCGUGAAUCCGGGUCUGGGACCGUGCAUGGUAGGCAGUUUGACUGGGGCGGUCUCCUCCCAAAGUGUAACGGAGGAGUACGAAGGUACGCUAGGUACGGUCGGACAUCGUGCUAAUAGUGCAAUGGCAUAAGCGUGCUUGACUGCGAGACCCACAAGUCGAGCAGGUACGAAAGUAGGUCAUAGUGAUCCGGUGGUUCUGUAUGGAAGGGCCAUCGCUCAACGGAUAAAAGGUACUCUGGGGAUAACAGGCUGAUACCGCCCAAGAGUUCAUAUCGACGGCGGUGUUUGGCACCUCGAUGUCGGCUCAUCACAUCCUGGGGCUGUAGCCGGUCCCAAGGGUAUGGCUGUUCGCCAUUUAAAGUGGUACGUGAGCUGGGUUUAAAACGUCGUGAGACAGUUUGGUCCCUAUCUGCCGUGGGCGCUGGAAAUUUGAAGGGACCUGCUCCUAGUACGAGAGGACCGGAGUGGACUAACCUCUGGUGUACCGGUUAUGACGCCAGUCGUAUCGCCGGGUAGCUAAGUUGGGAAGAGAUAAACGCUGAAAGCAUCUAAGCGUGAAACUCGCCUUAAGAUAAGAUUUCCCCGGGGACUUGAUCCCCCUGAAGGGUCGUCGAAGACCACGACGUUGAUAGGCUGGGUGUGGAAGCGCAGCAAUGCGUUAAGCUAACCAGUACUAAUUGCCCGUGUGGCUUGACU
rnacentral:rRNA from 1 species